rnacentral:rRNA from 1 species
AGUGAACGCUGGCGGUAGGCCUAACACAUGCAAGUCGAACGGCAGCACAGUAAGAGCUUGCUCUUACGGGUGGCGAGUGGCGGACGGGUGAGGAAUACAUCGGAAUCUACUUUUUCGUGGGGGAUAACGUAGGGAAACUUACGCUAAUACCGCAUACGACCUACGGGUGAAAGCAGGGGAUCUUCGGACCUUGCGCGAUUGAAUGAGCCGAUGUCGGAUUAGCUAGUUGGCGGGGUAAAGGCCCACCAAGGCGACGAUCCGUAGCUGGUCUGAGAGGAUGAUCAGCCACGCUGGAACUGAGACACGGUCCAGACUCCUACGGGAGGCAGCAGUGGGGAACAUUGGACAAUGGGCGCAAGCCUGAUCCAGCCAUACCGCGUGGGUGAAGAAGGCCUUCGGGUUGUAAAGCCCUUUUGUUGGGAAAGAAAAGCAGCAGGUUAAUACCCCGCUGUUCUGACGGUACCCAAAGAAUAAGCACCGGCUAACUUCGUG